AGGGAAGAACAUAUGUGUAAGUAACUGUGCACAUCUUGACGGUACCUAAUCAGAAAGCCACGGCUAACUACGUGCCAGCAGCCGCGGUAAUACGUAGGUGGCAAGCGUUAUCCGGAAUUAUUGGGCGUAAAGCGCGCGUAGGCGGUUUUUUAAGUCUGAUGUGAAAGCCCACGGCUCAACCGUGGAGGGUCAUUGGAAACUGGAAAACUUGAGUGCAGAAGAGGAAAGUGGAAUUCCAUGUGUAGCGGUGAAAUGCGCAGAGAUAUGGAGGAACACCAGUGGCGAAGGCGACUUUCUGGUCUGUAACUGACGCUGAUGUGCGAAAGCGUGGGGAUCAAACAGGAUUAGAUACCCUGGUAGUCCACGCCGUAAACGA
rnacentral:rRNA from 1 species